rnacentral:lncRNA from 1 species
CUGAUGUGUUGAGUAUAUUUUUUCUGACGCAAAAAAGAUCUUGUCCAGAGCUUCAAAUAGAAGGGAGUUUAUGAAUAUUACUUUCUGAGGAAAAACACACAGCAUGUGUUUAUAUAUACAUGUGUGUGUGUAUGUGUAUAGGAACAGAACCUGUCCAUUCUGUUACUCUUUACACAAAAGAGGAUUUUAAAUUUUUCAAUAUGUAACCACCUAACUUUAAGAUAUAACAGACAAUCAUUUUGUUGAUAACGUAAUGGAUUAAAAUGGACAUUUCUUUUUCAGCAGCUGAGCCACAGUAACCAAUUAUGUGAAUGAUCUCCAUUCAUUCCACUGCAAAAUUUCACAACAUUUGGGCUUUCUCCAGGUCACCACUAGCAGUUGGAAUCACUCCUGCUUAAACUUCCCCAUUUAAGUGUGGAACAGACAUCUGUGUAUACAUCUUUAUUAGAAAACAAGUCAAAACAGAGUAACUGUAAAACUGAUGAAGCUGUCCAGCUCUUCUGUUCAUUGCGAAUCAAGAAUGAGUAAGACACUCUGCUCUAAAGUGGUUGUGAUGCAUAUUUUGAGUGGCAGAAGAUGUCUGGAGUUCUGCAUUAAAUUUCCCUGGUGCUUUGAAGAUCUUUCCUUCCCUAUGCCUGCAAGUGGAUUACAUAUAGUGUGGCCAAGAACCUUGGACCUCAAAUCUAAAUCCUGUAAAGCAUUUCCCCAACUGUCUUGCUUUUAUGGCACUCUUUGUGGACUGGGGAGAUGCAUUAAAAUUGUCUGAAGCAGAAUAAAAAACAGAAUCUCAAUUCA